UACGUUCCCGGGUCUUGUACACACCACCCGUCACACCAUGGGAGCGGGUUUUACCAGAAGUAGGUAGCUUAACCGCAAGGGGGGCGCUUACCACGGUAGGAUUCGUGACUGGGGUG
rnacentral:rRNA from 1 species